GGGGUAAAGGGGGACGGAGGCACGUGGGAGGGUUGAACGAAUUCGCCCUUACCCGCUGGACUUAAGCAUAUCAAUAAGCGGAGGAAAAGAAACUAACAAGGAUUCCCCUAGUAACUGCGAGUGGACCGGAGAAAAGCUCAAAUUUUGAAUCUGGCGGUCUUCAUGCCGUCCGAGUUGGAAUCUAGAGAAGCGUCUUCCGCGCUGGACCGUGUAUAAGUUUCCUGGAAUGGAACGUCCUAGAGGGUGAGAAUCCCGUCUUUGACACGGACUGCCAGGGCUAUGUGAUGCGCUCUCGACGAGUCGAGGUGUUUGGGAAUGCAGCUCACAUAGGGUGGUAAAUUCCAUCUAAAGCUAAAUACAGGCGAGAGACCGAUAGCGAACAAGUACCGUGAGGGAAAGAUGAAAAGAACUUUGGAAAGAGAGUUAAUCAGCACGAGAUAUUGCUGAAAGGGAAACUCUUGAUGUUAGUCGCGUCGUCCGGGGAUCAGCCUUGCUCUUCUGCUCGGUGUAUUUCCUGCUCGGCGGGUCAGCAUCGGUCUUGACCGUCGGAAAAUGACUCGAGGAAUGUCGACUCCCUUCGGGGUCUGUUAUAGUCUCGGGUCGAAUCCGGCGAUUGGGACCGAGGAACUCAGCACGACCUUAGGGUUCGUGGCUUCGCCGCACGCUAUGACGUGCUUAGGAUGCUGGUAUAAUGUCCUUAAGCGACCCGUCUAGAAACACGG
rnacentral:rRNA from 1 species